rnacentral:rRNA from 1 species
GAUCCUGGCUCAGGAUAAACGCUGGCGUCGCACAUAAGACAUGCAAGUCGAACGGAAGUCGUUAUAAAAGGAGAGAAGAUUUAUCGGAUUGAAUUUUAUAACAAUGGCUUUAGUGGCGGACUGGUGAGUAACGCGUAAGGAACCUACCUAUUAGAGGGGAACAACAAUGAGAAAUCAUUGCUAAUACCGCAUAUGCCAUAACUACCGCAUGGUAGAAGUGGGAAAGGAGUAAUUCGCUGAUAGAUGG